AGAAUCCAGGGCAUUAGCGAGCCAGGAGGCACACUGGUACCUUUCCAUGGAUGUCGCAAAAGGGCUUAGAGGCCCAGGACCCCAGGAAUCACCUCACAUGGUGGAUAGCUGAACUCUUCACCAACAACACCCUGCAGUGCCUGGUGGGUCCCACUUGACCCCACCGUGUCCAAGGCUGGGGGCUGGGCAGGUGCAGCCCAGCCCAGCCCAGGCAGAUGUGUGUGAUGUCUUCACCGCGCUGCAGCUGUCCACCCAGCACUUCUGGCCGACUCACGUGGCAGUGGUCCUGCUGCACCACCGAAGUAGGGGCGUCCCCACCCCCACCCCAGCAGGGGUCAGUCUCCACACAGAAUUACAGACCCAGGAAGACAUCCUGAAACCUGGGGAGGAAAGUUUGCAGGGGGUGGCUCUUGGAUCCCUCAUCCAGUACCUGAGGCCACCAAGAGAGCCUUGGACCUCUCUGCCUGUCCUGCUGCGAUUCCACAUGCGCACCCGUGCCCAAACGGCUAAGAGAAGCAGCUGGGCCCCCGCAUGCGGCUCUGGAACCGCAAGUGCCCCCUCCCUGAGCACAGCCCCGACCCGGGCCAGGAGCAGCGGCGCCCCCGCGCGUCUACCCGCCCCAGCCCUGCGUCUGCAGCAACAGGAGCGGCACCUACUGUGCUUCUGCGGGGCGGCUCCCGCGUCCAUUGUCUCCGCGUUGACAGCAGCGAGGUGGCCACGAGGGCGCGGACUCGGGUGGUCAGUGGCCUGGCUCUGACUGAGGCUAAGGUUCCGAGGACAUCGCUUCGCCAGGGCUGGCGGCCCGCGGCGGACUGUGCGCGCAGCGCGUUCGGCGCUGUGACACUGAGCCCCGUGGAGGCGCCGCGCGAGGAGCGCGCUGUCACUCGUGCCGCCCGCACCACACCCCCUGCCCGCCCCGCGCUGGGAGGGGGCCGGGGGGCCCUCGGCUGCGCUGCGCGUAGAGCGGGGCGCGACGUGGAACCGCGGGCAAGCGCAACGCGCAGAGACUGGGAGCCGAGAGGACAGCGGGGCCAGCACCCGCCCCGCGUCCGCCGCAACCAAAGUACUCUUUCUGCAAAGAUGCACCCGCAGCCUCCCCCCUCGCCUCUGCGUGGCCGGAGCCUCGGACCAGGAGGGGGCGGGGCCGAGAGCACUUCCCACAUCUCGAGGCUGCUCCACGCAGCCAAAGCAAAGAGCUGAGCGGGAGGUCAUUGCUCUUCGCCCCCAGGUGCUUGAAGAGGAGGGUCUAGGUCACCUCUCCCCGGGACCCAGAGAUCAGGGAGCACAUGCAUAGCGCUGAAAGUCCCAAGACCAGGGAGAAAGGGUAAUAGCCCAGCCCCAAGAGCUGGAUAGGAGUAUCCCUUAGCUCCCUUCAGGAGAAGUGUUUCUGGGUCAGAGUGGGAUGGGGCUUGGUGCUGCUGUCUUGGAAACCGCCAUUCGGGCCUGGAGAGAGGACCAGGGUAGGAGAUGCAAGUAAAGUCCUGGCCCCUCUCUGACCAGCCCCUGGCUUCCCACAGAGCCCCUUCUUGCUUUAUCAGGUCCCAGAGGGUGUCUACAACAGUAGACCAUCUUGGCACCUCCUUGCCAAGUUAGGCUUCUCAGCAGCCCCUAGCUCUGCCCGCAUCCCACUGUCUGUAAGCAGGCAGGGUUGGAGAGGCAGAGGGGGAAAGGCACACUCCUGUGUCUGUAGAGUCCUCAGCCCCCUCCUGGGUAUGCUUUGCCUCGGGGCUGAGAAGCAAUUUUCUCUUCAGCCCACCUUAACAACUAUGGCCCAGAUAGGGUCCCAUCGCGCCAGCCAGCCACUCCAGCCCCAAACCACUGAGAAUCUAAGCACUUACUCUGUAGUGUGUACAAUUCUCUGUACUGUGUGCUUUUACACCAAGUGGGUUCCUGGACCCUAUGUUUUGUGGUCUGACCUGGGGAGUUCAAAAUGGAGUGGGAGAUCCCAGCCAGACCAAGAAGGAGGUAUAAGCAAUGAGGAGACUGGAACCCUGAAUGCUACCCAGCAGAAGGAAGACUGAAUCUGAGAUGAGGCCCCUCUCAGCAUACUGGGAGCAGGUUUCUAAGCCAGGAUGAAGCAUGGUGCCUCAUAUAUGGAAGGGUGUGUCCUUUGAGACCAAUGCCCCCUGCUCUUUUUGUCCCAGGGCAUGUCUUCUCCACUCAGGGACCUUGGUCUAAUGACUUAAGGGUUCGUGUCCCAGCUUCUACAGAUCCAUGAGACCUCAGUACCUCCUCUUCAGCCUUAGUUUCCCCUGACACAGACUCACUAGUCUCUACAGAUCCUUGACUCUCCUCAAGUCACCCAUUGAUUCCUUAGCUCUGCCACAGAUCCUGUGACCAAAGCUGACUCAUGAGAGAUGACACAUCCAUCACACUUACGGGGCAGCUGAACUCCAAGGUGCUCUGCUCUCUAGGCUCUCUUGCGCACGUGCAUGUGCACACACACACACACACACACACACACACACAUCCACACACCAUAGCUGUUAAGCUCUAUUAGGCAUAGCUUCUGGGAUACCUCAUCUGGCUAAGGAUGCCUGUGCUCAGAUUGCCCAGGGUAAGUAGCACCAGGCAUUCCUACCACAGCCACAAACCCUUGACAUCAUCAUCAUCAUCAUUAUGGAAUAGCCGACCAGAGCUAUGCUCCAAAAGCCAUGGCUUCCUGAGCCAUGCUGUGGAGGCAGUUAUCAGAACUCCUUCCCAGGGGCCUGUGGUACUAACUCUGUACUUCUCUGCCUGCCAUGGCCUCACAGUUACACAUAUUCCCUCAGACUUCACCUGGCUUCCUUUUCUGUAAUGCAAGCUCCAGGAACUUCUCUGUAUUCCCACUUUCCAGGCCAGAAGCACAUCUUCCGCUCCCACCUUGACAGCAUGAGCUGUCCCAGGACACCAGGAGAGCAUAAGAGAUUAACAAAGCAUGCAUGAAGAGCUGGACAGAGGGCUCAGUGGGUAAACAUUGUGCUGCUCUUGAAAAGGACCUGAGUUCCAUUCUCAGACCCACAUCGGACAGCUCUGAAAUGCCUGUACUGAUACCUCCGGGGAAUUGUACAUCUCCUUCUAGCCCCACAGGUACUUGCACUCGCGUGAACACAUGCACUAUUAAAAAUAAAAUCUUUAAAG
ensembl:antisense Gm10564 predicted gene 10564